rnacentral:rRNA from 1 species
UACGGGGGGGGCAAGCGUUGUUCGGAAUUACUGGGCGUGAAGGGCUCGUAGGCGGCCAACUAAGUCAGACGUGAAAUCCCUCGGCUUAACCGGGGAACUGCAUCUGAUACUGGAUGGCUUGAGAUUGGGAGAGGGAUGCGGAAUUCCAGGUGUAGCGGUGAAAUGCGUAGAUAUCAGGAGGAACACCGGUGGCGAAGGCGGGUCUCUGGGCCGAUACUGACGCUGAGGAGCGAAAGCGUGGGGAGCGAACGGG